UUAAAAAAAAAAAAACCCUAAUGUCUAAGUUGAAAUCCCUAACUCAUCUCGACAUUUCCUCUCUCACACCGUCAAACAGUCACACUGUCGCCGUCCACUGACGACAUCUCCUCUCUCGCACUAACCUAACUCUCAUCUCUCACAUUGUCACACAAUCAUAACGUUUUUGUCUACCAUCGACAUCUCCUUUCUCACACUCACGCAACUCUCGUCUUUCACAUUGUCACACAGUCACACCGUCGACAUCUCCUUUCUCACACUCAUGCAACUCUCGUCUUUCACAUUGUCACACAAUCACACUGUCGACAUCUCCUCUCUCACACUCACUAGCUGCCGCUUGCUCAGGUAGUCUCAAGCAUUGACAUGGAUGAUUCUCAGUCUAUAGAUAUGGAUAUCGUUAAUGUGAGAGAAAGUGACGAUGCUUCUAAGUCCUUGACUUCAGAAGCUGAUGCUUAAGUAAAGGAAUUUCGAUAAUCAAUUGACCGCCUGAAGGCUGAAAGUGAGGAGUUGGAGGUGACCUUUCCCUUAUUUGUCAUAUUGUAGUAGGAUGUAGAACAAAUGGAAUUUCUAUUGUUUCUUACAUCAAUUAUCCCUGAGGUGAUAGCAAAAUGAAUGAUUUUAUGUUGUUUCA